UACUCUAGCAGUUUAGGGCGGUUCAUUUAAGUUUUCAGCAGCUCCACUUUUUUUGCACAGGUUCCGGUAAACCUCCAUGUCUCCUUUUUUUCCUCCCCACGUUGUUGCAGGGCGUUUUCAUUGACAGUGGUGGGUGGUUAUUGAAGUUAAAUGACAGUAUUAAUGGUUUGCUUCACACAAUUGCCGUCGGUAAGCCUUUCUCCUCUACUCGUCGCCGCUGUUGUUUGAGUCUGACACCAGCGCCGCCUCCGUUCUACACCCUUUUGUUGCUUAACACACACUGACGCCACAAAAUUUCUGAAAUUGAUCACAAGGUAGCCUUCAUACACCCUUCCCCUUGUACACAUCUGGUAUAUACACAGACACAUAACAUAGCUUUCAUCAAUGGCUAUCUAAACCUUCAUUCAAUCACAACCUGAUGUUUUACACCCCCACUUUCGUGCUCUUUCCCUAAGUUGAUCGUCAGUCGCUUGCGGAAAUCCAUAUCGGCUUCGUCAAUAAUCUUCUUGAUAAUGGUUGAGAUUUAAUCCUCUGUUCCAGACUAAUCAAGUGCGUUUAUGAAGGAGGUUGAAAUUUUUCAUAAAGAGAGGUGUUUGGAGUUUAAGCCUCCAAAGUUUCAUGGAGAGCCACUCAAUUGCCUCAAGUUACGGAGAUCGGUGAUGAGGCUCGGUGGCUAUGAACAGGCUGCAACAUUGGCUCUUUUUAAAGUUCCUCAAUGCAAAAAUUUGUGGACUAAAGAAUACAUCUAUGAGUUUUAUGAAGUGCACAUCAAUUUGUCUGCAGACUGAUAAUGGACUAUAUGUCCCUGUCAUAAUAAGGGCAUUCGCUUGGAUAACAUAUUUCUUAGUAAGUGCACUUGUAUUUUAAGUUCGUGUUACAUUAUUUAGCAAGCACUUACAUAGAUUUAACUCUUAAGUCUUAACUGGAUGAGCAUAAAAGUCAAAACAAGUCCACUCUUGGAUGUGGGUUAAGCUGCAGGUAAACCGAGUACCUGAGUUUAUUAAAUUUAUCAAAUAAUGAGGAUUUUGGUGCAGCUGGUAUUCAAAAAGUACAUUUGCAUAAGAGAUGUUAUGCAAUGAAAGUCAACAACAGUCAACGGAAGUCACCAAGAUUAACAGUAGUCAACAUGCGCAUGGAUGUUCUCUUCACAAAUUUUAUAAAUCAGUAUAUAGGAAAAGCAACAAUGGCCAAAAGAUAUAUCUUGGACUUUGCUUCUUUGAAUGUGAGCAUAAACACCUUAGUUAUUGUACUGGUCUCUUCAUUUUAAUGAGUAUAAAAAUAUAUAAAAUGCAUACAUUGGACUAAGAUUAUGCUAUGAAUUAGUGUC